CGUCUCCCAGUCAACUUUGGGUUGCUGGACCGUUGUCUCCUUAUAAUUUCAUAGGAUGAAACAUGGACUUAAGGAAUUGAGGGAGCAACACCUCAAGGAAGACAUUAGCAGACUCAUUGAAGACUUACCAACAUCAAGCAAAGUCCAAGACACAAGACAAGAAAAGCCCAAGUGAAAACAACUUGAAGAAUAGAAGAUUGGGUUGUUUAUGAGUGCACCAGACCGUCUAGAGGUUCACCAGAAUGAGACACUAAACCAAACACUCAUAGAGCAUGUAAACAACACCCAAGCCUUCUCACACACUGUUGGUACACCGGACCUUAUAGGCUCAAUGAUUGGCAAUAGCUAGUUGCAACGGACAACUGACAUGGCAGGCACUAGACUGUCUGAUGUGCGCUAUUGGCACAUUAGACCUCUAGUGUACAGAUGAAAAGUUGUCAUAUUUCCAAUGGUUAGCUAAAGUGGAAGGGCACCAGACGGGUUUGUUGUGACUCAUAAAAGUUUGCUUCCUUCCAAUGACUCUUUUGGGCUUGGGACUCAAUAUAAAUCCACUCAACCGAGCAUUCCAAGA